rnacentral:rRNA from 1 species
AUGGGGUGGAGAUCUGCGGCCGGCCGUCUGCUGGCGAUCCUGCUCGUUCUGCACCUCCUCGUCGCCUCCUCCCACGCGGCCCGCUUCACGAGGAGCUACAGGAUGAUGGCGGUGGAGGCUCCGGCGUUUCGCGGUGCUAGAGGCGAUUCAGGAGAGGUCAAAAUGAUGCAGAGCAACAGGAGGGAGAGCGACGCGAUCGUGGAGGAGAUGUUCGGGAGGAUGGCUCUGCAGACGACCGACUACCCGGGUUCAGGCCCUAACGAUCGUCACACCCCCAAGGCGCCCGGGACAUGA